rnacentral:rRNA from 1 species
GAUGAACGCUGGCGGCGUGCCUAAUACAUGCAAGUCGAGCGAACGGACGAGAAGCUUGCUUUUCUGAUGUUAGCGGCGGACGGGUGAGUAACACGUGGAUAACCUACCUAUAAGACUGGGAUAACUUCGGGAAACCGGAGCUAAUACCGGAUAAUAUUUUGAACCGCAUGGUUCAAAAGUGAAAGACGGUCUUGCUGUCACUUAUAGAUGGAUCCGCGCUGCAUUAGCUAGUUGGUAAGGUAACGGCUUACCAAGGCAACGAUGCAUAGCCGACCUGAGAGGGUGAUCAGCCACACUGGAACUGAGACACGGUCCAGACUCCUACGGGAGGCAGCAGUAGGGAAUCUUCCGCAAUGGGCGAAAGCCUGACGGAGCAACGCCGCGUGAGUGAUGAAGGUCUUCGGAUCGUAAAGCUCUGUUAUUAGGGAAGAACAUAUGUGUAAGUAACUGUGGACAUCUUGACGGUACCUAAUCAGAAAGCCACGGCUAACUACGUG